rnacentral:rRNA from 1 species
AACGAACGCUGGCGGCAUGCCUAACACAUGAAAGUCGAACGAGACCUUCGGGUCUAGUGGCGCACGGGUGCGUAACGCGUGGGAACAUGCCCUUAGGUUCGGAAUAACUCCCCGAAAGGGGUGCUAAUACCGGAUAAUGUCUUCGGACCAAAGAUUUAUCGCGUUUGGAUGGGCCCGCGUUGGAUUGGCUAGUUGGUAGGGUAAAAGCAUACCAAGGCGACGAUCCAUAGCUGGGCUGAGAGGAGGCUCCGCCACACUGGGACUGAGACACGGCCCAGACUCCUACGGAAGGGAGCAGUGGGGAAUAUUGUACAAGGGGCGAAAGCCUGAUACAGCAACGCCGCGGGAGUGAUGAAGGCCUUAGGGUUGUAAAGCUCUUUUACCCGGGAUGAUAAUGACAGUACCGGGAGAAGAAGCACCGGCUAACUACGUG